rnacentral:rRNA from 1 species
UACGUAGGGUGCAAGCGUUGUCCGGAAUUAUUGGGCGUAAAGAGCUUAUAGGCGGUUUGUCGCGUCUGCUGUGAAAUUUCGGGGCUCAACCCCGAACUUGCAGUGGGUACGGGCAGACUAGAGUGUGGUAGGGGAGACUGGAAUUCCUGGUGUAGCGGUGAAAUGCGCAGAUAUCCGGAGGAACACCGAUGGCGAAGGCAGGUCUCUGGGCCAUAACUGACGCUGAGAAGCGAAAGCAUGGGGAGCGAACAGG